rnacentral:tRNA from 1 species
GGAGAUACCAACCGACGGAUGGCGGCGGUCACUGCCUGGAACGCAGUUGGUGGACUUGUCCACGUGCAGGUUCGAUCCCUGUUGUCUCCG